rnacentral:rRNA from 1 species
GACGAACGCUGGCGGCGUGCUUAACACAUGCAAGUCGAACGGAAAGGCCCUGCUUUUGUGGGGUGCUCGAGUGGCGAACGGGUGAGUAACACGUGAGUAACCUGCCCUUGACUUUGGGAUAACUUCAGGAAACUGGGGCUAAUACCGGAUAGGAGCUCCUGCUGCAUGGUGGGGGUUGGAAAGUUUCGGCGGUUGGGGAUGGACUCGCGGCUUAUCAGCUUGUUGGUGAGGUAGUGGCUUACCAAGGCUUUGACGGGUAGCCGGCCUGAGAGGGUGACCGGCCACAUUGGGACUGAGAUACGGCCCAGACUCCUACCGGAGGCAGCAGUGGGGAAUAUUGCACAAUGGGCGGAAGCCUGAUGCAGCAACGCCGCGUGCGGGAUGACGGCCUUCGGGUUGUAAACCGCUUUCGCCUGUGACGAAGCGUGAGUGACGGUAAUGGGUAAAGAAGCACCGGCUAACUACGUG